GAUGAACGCUAGCGGGAGGCCUAACACAUGCAAGCCGAGCGGUAUUGUUUCUUCGGAAAUGAGAGAGCGGCGUACGGGUGCGUAACACGUGUGCAACCUGCCUUUAUCUGGGGGAUAGCCUUUCGAAAGGAAGAUUAAUACUCCAUUACAUAUUGAACGGCAUCGUUUAAUAUUGAAAGCUCCGGCGGAUAGAGAUGGGCACGCGCAAGAUUAGCUAGUUGGUGAGGUAACGGCUCACCAAGGCGAUGAUCUUUAGGGGGCCUGAGAGGGUGAUCCCCCACACUGGUACUGAGACACGGACCAGACUCCUACGGGAGGCAGCAGUGAGGAAUAUUGGACAAUGGGUGAAAGCCUGAUCCAGCCAUCCCGCGUGAAGGACGACUGCCCUAUGGGUUGUAAACUUCUUUUGUAUAGGGAUAAACCUACCCUCGUGAGGGUAGCUGAAGGUACUAUACGAAUAAGCACCGGCUAACUCCGUGCCAGCCGCCGCAGUAA
rnacentral:rRNA from 1 species